rnacentral:rRNA from 1 species
AAUAGAUACCCCGGUAGUCCACGCCGUAAACGAUGGAUGCUAGCUGCUAGAAGUAUCGACCCUUCUAGUAGCGUAGCUAACGCGUUAAGCAUCCCGCCUGUGGAGUACGGUCGCAAGACUAAAACAUAAAGGAAUUGACGGGGACCCGCACAAGCGGUGGAGCGUGUUGUUUAAUUCGAUGAUAAGCGAAGAACCUUACCCAGGCUUGACAUCCCACUAAGGACUCCGAAAGGAGACUGUGUCUUCGGACCGUGGUGACAGGUGUUGCAUGGCCGUCGUCAGCUCGUGUCGUGAGAUGUUUGGUUAAGUCCAUCAACGAGCGCAACCCUUAUAGUUAGUUGUAUUUCUCUAGCUAGACUGCCCUGGCAACAGGGAGGAAGGAGGGGAUGAUGUCAGGUCAGUAUUACCCUUACGUCUGGGGCUACAAACACGCUACAAUGGCCGGUACAAAGGGCAGCCAACCCGCGAGGGGGUAGCAAAGUCCCAUCAAAGCCGGUCUCAGUUCGGAUUGCAGGCUGAAACUCGCCUGCA